rnacentral:lncRNA from 1 species
UAGCCGGGGCGAACAUUUAAUGUUUAAAUUUUUUUCGCUACAAAUGCAGCUAUAUUCAACCAGAACUCAUAUCAUUCAACAACAAAAGGAUGAAAAGACUAUUUAAAACUAGUACACUGUUAAAAGUCGCCGAGGCCGCCUGACUGCUCACAUGGACUCUUGCCGCUUGAAAUGCUCACUUAUGGCACAAUAUGAUCCCAUAAUUCCAAUUUCCAAAUGAGACCUACAAAAUAAAGAAUGCAUUAGCACAAGUGUGAUGAGAGUUGUAUAUUUUGAUAUAGACACACAUCUGAUGGUAACUGGGUGGUAGUGUACCUUUAAGACGUAAUUGCAUACUGAACACGAGGUUGUGGAGGUAGAUGACCUCGACGGUUCUUCAAGGCAUGAAAAUGAACCAUAAUCUCUUUAUCACUAAUUUUGGCAAAUAUCUCGCGCUCAACAAAGCAAACCAUCAAAUCAUUAAGACAAUCAUCACCCAUCUUGUUUCGAAGAUCAGUCUUUAUAAUAUUCAUGGCUGAGAAAACCCUCUCAACUGAUGCAGUUGCCACCGGUAAUGUCAAUGCAAGUCUGAUGAGCCGAUAAACCAAUGGAAAUACCAGAUGUUGUCUACUCUGAACCAACUUGAGAGCAAGAAAACUCAAACUAUCGCAAGCCAAGAAUUCAGUACUUCUUUUCAUCACAUCAAUAUAUGUUGAGUUGAUCAGUCAACAGAUAGCGCUCUUGUGAAGAGAAAUCAAUUGAGUAAAUAUUUGCAAGCUCAACUAGCUUAUCAUGAUCAAAGUUGCUAAAUGAGUCUCUAGGAUCAAGGCAAGCAAUGCACUUCAACAAGCGUGUAGAAGUUUCACUAAAUCGAUUAUUCAUCUCAACUAUGUUUCUAUCCAACACCUCAUUGAAUAUAGUCACCUUGUAAUGAUGGAGCCAAGUAACCAUUUUGCGUGAUGUUCUUGGGUAACCCCUUAUUGAAAUGUUAUCAUCCAUAUUGGGCACUAUUAUAUUUCUUGCAGCACAAAAGUUAGUAGUAGAUAUUAAGAGAGGCUCCCAUCCAUCAUCUCUCAACUUUUGUAAUAGACUUUUCACUGACACAAUCAUAUUCAUAGCACAGACUAUAUUCUGAUCUUUUUGUUGCAAUGCUUGUGACAAAUCAUUGGUUAAACCAAGCACUCGAAGCAUCAAAUGCAAGAUAAGAACAAAUUCAAAUGUUUCCAUGUUUAUCAUAAAGCCAGAAGCCAAACCUCUAUCGUCAGCAUCUGCUCCAUCAAGAGAAAUACCAUGUAGCACUUCAACCACGGAAUCCCAUAUUUGAUAUAUCCGGAUUAGAGUCUUGUGGUGUGGCCCCCAUCGUGUAUCACCGGGUCUUGCUAAACUUGUCUCUUGAUGCUGGCCUUUUCCUGACAAAAUCUCCCCAUGCUCUAACUGUAAAACCAGGUUGUCAUGAUGCUUCUGCAACAAUGCAUGUUUUCUUUUACACGAGGCACUUACCUACAAGAAAAGAGUAAGUGCGAUUAGAAUUUUAUAAUGGCUAGAUAUAUACUAUUUGGAUUUGCAAAUCCAUAAGCUAUAAGAACUAAGAAGUACUAACCAUGUUGACAAUCUUAUUUGUAUGUCCAAAGAAAUCACUAACAGCUAGGACUCCCUUGACAACAGCAACAACUACCAAUUGAAGUUGGUGGGCAAAACAAUGCACAUAAAAAGCAUAUGGAUUGACAUCUAGCACCAAUUUCUUCAAACCAUUAAGUUCUCCACGCAUAUUUGAGGCCCCAUCAUAUCCUUGUCCUCUCAAUCUAGACAUGGAUAAAUUAUGUUUAACAAACAUUGCAUCCAAAGAUCUUUUCAAAGAAGCGGAUGUAGUAUCAAGAACAUGUUUAACACCAAGCAAUCUUUCCAAAGACUCCCCUUUUUGGUUGGUGAACCUUCAAGCAAAACAAACUAUAAAAUUAGAACAAGCAUGUGAGGGUAGAGUAGGUACAUUCAGAAUUAGAACAAUCAUGACAAAUAACUAACCUCACACAACCAUUUGCUCUCUGACCGAUACAUCACGAGACUCAUCAACAAGUAGAGAGAAAUUACUAUCACCAAGCUCAUCCAUUAUCACUUUUGUGGUCACUUCGGCACAUGCUUGUACUAUUUGUUUUUGGAUUUUAUGACAAGUCAAUUGAUGAUUGCCAGGAGCAUUUUUAUGGACCACAUCGGCUACAUCUUUGCAUCUUUCAGCAUACCAAUCCAACAUCUCAAGGAAAUUACCCUUGUUCAUGGAAGUGGUAGUCUCAUCGUGCCCACGAAAAGCUAGGCCUUGAGAGACAAGAAACCUUACCACACCUACAACAGCCCUCAAACGCUCUUCAUAUUCAAUAUGUGAUUUCUCAGUAUGAGAAGUCAUUGCAUAUGACACACUUUGCUUUUGGUUUUUGAAAUCUUCACACUGUCUUCUAGCAUUGUUGUGAGCGCUGUUUGGUCCACCUACAUGAGCAUUGAAUAUUUUCACUGUCUUCUUCCAAUUUUUGAACCCUUUCUUAGUGAAGACAUCAUGACCAAACUUGUCACCAAUGCUUGGAGGCUUGAAAAGAAAACAAUGGAAACAAUAGGCAGAUUUUGUCUCUUUACUAUACUCUAGCCAGUCAUAAUCUUUAUACCAUGCUUCUUUGAAGUUCCGCCAAUCUUUCCCAAAAAGAGUCCGAGGAAAAUCAUGACCAUACAAACGUCCAACACCUUUCGACAAAUAUGCCCUUCUCAUUUCAUCUCUAAUUUCUGGAGUUGCAUACUCAUCAAUUUGCUUAUGUGUGCCAGGAUCAGGAUCCACGUCAGCUAAAUUAAAUGCCGAAGGAAUGCCCUACAACAUCAAAUGGCACCAUAUCAAAACCGAGUGUCCUGUUACUGCUAUCUGCUAUUCAACAUUCCAAGUUUCCAACUAACAUAUCAAAGGAAGGAUACAAUCAUACAAGAAGACUAGAAGAGGAUACCUGCCGGUCGUCGGAGUCAUGUGGUCGCUCUCGCUUCCGUUUGGCUCUGGCCGCCGAAGCUGCUGCCUCUGCCACAGCCGCCGCAUCUUCGACAGUAGCAGCCUCAGCCUCAGCUUCUUCGAGUUCGACAGCAGCAGCUAUGCCUUUCCAAUCCACCUCUUCGCCGGAGUCCAUCCCUUCACCGGAAUCCAUCACCGGCACCGCCCCCACUGCCG